rnacentral:rRNA from 1 species
AGGGUUUGAUCAUGGCUCAGAAACGUACGCUGGCGGCACGCCUAAUACAUGCAAGUCGAACGAAGUAGCAAUACUUAGUGGCAGACGGGUGAGUAACAUGUAGGUAUCUUCCCUUUGGUGAGGAAUAACACGAGGAAACUUGUGCUAAUACCUCAUAAGUCUUUACGGAGAAAGCUUUAUGCGCCAUUGGAUGAGCCUGCACUUGAUUAGUUUGUUGGUAGGGUAAUGGCCUACCAAGACAAUGAUCAAUAGCUGAUUUGAGAGGAUGAUCAGCCACAUUGGGACUGAGACACGGCCCAAACUCCUACGGGAGGCAGCAGUAGGGAAUCUUGCACAAUGGGGGAAACCCUGAUGCAGCGAUGCCGCGUGAGUGAAGAAGGCCCUUGGGUUGUAAAGCUCUUUCGUCGGGGAAGAAAAUGACUGUACCCGAAUAAGAAGGUCCGGCUAACUUCGUGCCAGCAGCCGCGGUAAUACGAAGGGACCUAGCGUAGUUCGGAAUUACUGGGCUUAAAGAGUUCGUAGGUGGUUAAAAAAGUUGGUGGUGAAAUCCCAGAGCUUAACUCUGGAACUGCCAUCAAAACUUUUUAGCUAGAGUAUGAUAGAGGAAAGCAGAAUUUCUAGUGUAGAGGUGAAAUUCGUAGAUAUUAGAAAGAAUACCAAUUGCGAAGGCAGCUUUCUGGAUCAUUACUGACACUGAGGAACGAAAGCAUGGGUAGCGAAGAGGAUUAGAUACCCUCGUAGUCCAUGCCGUAAACGAUGUGUGUUAGACGUUGGAAAUUUAUUUUCAGUGUCGCAGCGAAAGCAAUAAACACACCGCCUGGGGAGUACGACCGCAAGGUUAAAACUCAAAUGAAUUGACGGGGACCCGCACAAGUAGUGGAGCAUGUGGUUUAAUUCGAAGAUACGCGCAGAACCUUACCAACACUUGACAUGUUCGUCGCGACUUUAAGAGAUUAAAGUUUUCGGUUCGGCCGGACGAAACACAGGUGCUGCAUGGCUGUCGUCAGCUCGUGUCGUGAGAUGUUGGGUUAAGUCCCGCAACGAGCGCAACCCUCACUUUUAGUUGCCAUCAUUUAGUUGGGCACUCUGAAAGAACUGCCAGUGAUAAGCUGGAGGAAGGUGGGGAUGACGUCAAGUCCUCAUGGCCCUUACGUGUUGGGCUACACACGUGCUACAAUGGCAUUUACAAUAGGAAGCAAGACGGCGACGUUUAGCAAAUCCUAAAAAAAUGCCUCAGUUCGGAUUGUACUCUGCAACUCGAGUACAUGAAGCUGGAAUUACUAGUAAUCGCGGAUCAGCGCGCCGCGGUGAAUACGUUCCCGGGUCUUGUACACACCGCCCGUCACACCAUGGGAGUUGGUUCUACCUUAAGGCAAAGGUUAAAAACUUUGACCACGGU